rnacentral:misc_RNA from 1 species
AAGUCGUAACAAGGUCUCCGUAGGUGAACCUGCGGAGGGAUCAUCAUUGAUAGCUUAUUGCUGGGCUUGCCCGCAAACAACAAACAGCAUGUCAAAGAAGCGGGGCGGCUGGCUGGCUGGCUUGGGUGAUUUGGCUGACUUGGUGGGCUGACUUGGGUGAUUUGGCUUGGCUGGCGCCGCCCUCAGGAAAACACACUGCCUGAUACUACACUGACUUGGUCGCUGACUUGGAUAAACAGAAAACAACUUUCAACAACGGAUCUCUUGGCUCUCA